rnacentral:rRNA from 1 species
GACGAACGCUGGCGGCGUGGAUUAGGCAUGCAAGUCGGACGGUAGGGCUUUAUCGUAAGAUAGAGUUUGAGAGUGGCGAACGGGUGAGUAACACGUAGGAAUCUACCCUUAAGACGGGGACAACCCAGGGAAACUUGGGCUAAUACCGGAUGUGAGCAACUUUUAGUUGUUUGAAAGGUGGCGUAAGCUGUCGCUUGGGGAUGAGCCUGCGUCCUAUUAGUUAGUUGGUGAGGUAACGGCUCACCUAGGCAAUGAUAGGUAGGCGGCCUUAACGGGUGGUCGCCCACACUGGGAUUGAGAUACGGCCCAGACUCCUACGGGAGGCAGCAGUCGAGAAUAGUCUACAAUGGUCGGAAGACUGAUAGUGCGACGCCGCGUGAACGAUGAAGGUCCCUUCGGGGUGUAAAGUUCUGUCCUAAGGGACGAUAAUGACGGUACCUUAGGAGGAAGCCCCGGCUAACUACGUGCCAGCAGCCGCGGUAAGCUCGUCUCUA